CAACCCUUAAAACUGUCAUUUGACAUAUCACAAUUUUCACUAGAAAAACACAAUCAACCUUCAAACAAACACGGAAAUGAAGAUCAUUGAUGCAUGGUUUAAUAGUUUACAUCACACAAUCAUCAUCUUCCCCCUCUCAUCGGCACCAUCACCAAAAAGUUGCACUUGGCGCCAUCUCCUAGACCACUUGCACGUCCAUCAAACACCUCCAUUGUCGCCGGUGGUGGAGUCCUCCACACCGCCAUCGCCACCACCACUCAUUGGAGUGUCACCUCGAAGAGUAGAGAACACCCAUCCCGACAACGUUGAAAAACAAGUGGUUAAACAGGAUGGAAACACUUGGUUUGCAGUGCCAGCCUUCAGACACAAAUUAUACCAAGGAUAGCAUACCAAAAUGAUGCAGGUAUAAAUACAACCCAACUAUCAGUUGAACAAGGACUGCUGCCCUGCAGGAUUGAACAAGGAUUGCCCAUGCUCUGUCUGCCUAUCCUUGAUGGGCACGAAAACUGAAUUGUAAGUUGUCUGCAUAUCCUCGAUGGACACGAACUCUGAAUUGUCAGCAUGUACUUCACAGUUUCCCAACCAUUCGUGCAGCAAUUGGGCAAACGGCAAGAGGCUGCGAUAAUCUGAAUUUUCCGAGAGCACCAGACCGGAAGCCAUAGCCGGCACCGAUGUUAUCACACACUAUCACUACUUACUAGGGCUCAAGCAGAUCAGCGGGGGGAGGGAGAAGAGCGGGGCGGCACCUGGGCGAGCUUGGCGUGCUCGGCCUCCUCCUCGGCGGACAGCGGCGCGGGCUCCGGCUCCGGCUCGGCGGCACCGGGCGCCGCGGCGGCGAGGCGGGGGACGGCCGCGGUGCAGAGGGCGGGCAUCGCACGGCCGGGGACGGUAGAGGAGGCGCGCGACGUGGGAGGCAGCGCGAGGGACGGAGGCCGUCACCGCCGCCUUAGCGUCGCGAGGCACGGCAAAGGCGCCACCGGUGGGGAGAGUAGGAGCGCGAGCAUUGUUUCUUUGGGGAGCGGUCACGGGAUGGCGGCGGCGGCCUGAGAUGUGGCUGGCGGCGGCUCGGGGGAGGCGUGGGAGGAGGUUGGGAACGGGUAAUUUCCCUCCCUCGCGUGGCCGGAUCGAAGUGAGG
rnacentral:lncRNA from 1 species